AGUUCUUUGAAACAUUUAUUUUUAAAUAUAAUCUGUAAUGGAUGAGUAAUAUUCCAUUGUAUACAUAAACCACAUCUUGUUUAUCCAUUCAUCUUUUGAUGGACACCGAGGCUCCUUUCAGUUUGGCUAUUGUGGACAUUGCUGCUAUAAACAUCGGGGUGCAGGUGUCCCAGCAUUUAGAAACGACAAAUACCCACCAUUUGCUUCGACAUGGAUGGAACUGGAGGGUAUUAUGCUGAGUGAAAUAAGUCAAUUGGAAAAGGACAAACAUUAUAUGGUCUCAUUCAUUUGGGGAAUAUAAAAAUUAGCAAAAGGGAAUAAACGGAGAGAAAAUGAGUGAAAAUUUCAGUGAGGGUGACAAAACACGACACCUAACUCUGGGAAAUGAACAAGGGGUAGUAGAAGGGGAGGUGGGCAGGGGGUUGGGAUGACUGGGUGAUGGGCACUGAGGGGGGCAUUUGGCAGGAUGAGCACUGUGUGUUAUGCUAAAUGUUGGCAAAUUGAACUCCAAUAAAAAAAUUAAAAAUAUAUAUAUAAUCUGUAAAUUCUGUAAGAUAUCUCCAUUCUGUUGUAUGAUUAGUUUUACUUUUUUUCUGGGUAAGUUUUCUUGUUUAUUUGUUGCAGUGACCUUAAUUGAUAGAAAUGCUACAGAACAACAGAAUUCUUAAGGAAUGACACACCAACAUUGUCCAAAAGAACUAAUUAAUCAAAUGUGAUUAAUUUUAAUGUAAUUACUAAAGAAAGAUAUAUCAUUUUAUUAUGACGCUCUAGCCAUACAUUUUUCCAAAUAUGCUUACUUAACAGUAAAUGUAAGAUAAUGAUUCAGUUAGUUACAGUUUUAGAAGUCAUUAGGAUUGAUAUUCCUCUGCCAUAAAUGAAUAAUGAUUUCAAAUACAAUCAGAGUUAAUUUAAUAAAAAAUAUGCUCUUGAACUAAGACAGAUAAAAUGAAUGACCAAUCAUUAUUUCCUGGUUUCAAAGUAGCAGGGAAAAAAAAUUCAGUGUCUGUAUGUGUAUUUAUCACACUUGGCUUGUAAGUGUGAUAAAACCGUAUGAAGCAAAACACAUGAUAUAAUCCCAGUUCUCAUAGUUCAUUAACUCCCUUAGUAACAAAAGAUCUGACAUGAUAUUUGGGGCCUUUAUGUAAACUGAAUACAAGCUGCAUGGUGUUUGAAAGUUUUUAAUAUUUUGAAUAGACAUUCUAAUGAUACACAGAUACAGAUAAGAGAUGUGAGUAGACAGUUCGAGGUUUCAGAGUCCCUCCUGCAGUGUAUUUAGCAGCAGGUACAAGAUAAAUAUCCAAACAAUCAGAUUAAGGGAUUAACAGAAGUGACUUUGCUCUCAGUAGGUAAAUGGGGCCAGUGGGUGGGUGACUUGGAACUUUGAGGUUUUUUUUUUCCCCUACUUUUACAUCAGUGCAUUUUGGGCAAAAGGAAAUGGAUAAUGUUUACUUUUAGGAUGCAGUAGGCCUGGGUAGUUAAAAAAAAAAGGGUAGAUUAUAAGGGUUGUGAAAAGUAAUUCUGAAGGCGACAGGUGAUUCAGCAGGGAUUAAGCAGGAGAAACUAUUUCCAUUUUAACUCACAUUUCAAUUGGGCAGUAAUGUUUGAACUUUUUUGUUCCCCUUUUAAAAUUAUAUAUAUUUUUUCCUUUAAAUACCAUGUCAAGGACAGCUGAAGAACAAGGAAGAAAAGGGACCAUGUUUAAGAUCAACGUGUAGUCAUAAAUUAAGAGGGAAUGUGUAGAAUAUGUAUUUUUUAAAGAAGCCCCUUGAAUUACAGGGUUUCAGCUUGGUGACCCCUCUAUACAAUUUUGAGGCAAAUAUUAAUUGAAUAAGGACUGGGAGGAAUAGAGAUAGUUUCAAAAAUUCCCUGGGCUUCUGUCUUAUGUAUGAGAAGUUCCCCCGCCAAAAAAAAAAAAAAAAAAAAAAAAAAAAAAAAAUUGUUUUAGGAUGGACUUGGUUAUUUCAGUUGGUAUCUUUAUCCUGUACCAUAUGCACUUUAAAGCUUCAGUCUUCUCAUCUCCUUUUUUUUUUUUAAAUAGAAAUCACAAAAAAGAUAUCUAUGUAUCAGUUUCUAACACCUAACAGGAAAGUCUUUUAGAAUAUUAACAUAGCAAUAAGCAAAUAUGUACUAUAGGAUUAAACAUUAGCACUGAAAACAAACCGAAAACAAAGAAUCCACAAAAUUUUCUUCUUGUUUUUAACCCCUCAUAUUUUGAACUUCAUGAUCAUUGCAAGAGAGGGGCAUAAAGAAUUGCAAUUCUUGUAUUAAAUUUUUUUAAAAAAUAAAUGAUGCCAUAAUGAUGGAUAAAUCAGAUUUAUCUUUUGAAAACAUUGAUGGGAAAGCCCUGGUGAUUCUUCUUUCUUAUGAAGAGAGCCAAACAGGAUCUGUCUCUAAUAAAUUAGUACACUUUUUUAAGAUUAAAAAUAGAAAAAACAUUUUAAAUAGUCAAGUCAAACAUACACUUCUAUCUAGCCUAUAGUUUUAAAGAGUCUAUGUGGGUUUAAUUUAUCAUCCCUCAUUCCAAUACAAAAAAAAAAAAAGAAGAAGAAGAAGAAGAAAGAACCAAAUCGGUUUUGAACAUUAAGAUAUUCAUAAAGACUGUAUAAAGUAAAAAACAAAAGAAAACAAAAAAAAAAUCUUCACAGAUUGUUAGCCAUCUCUUUCAAUGAUUUCUCAUAAAUUCUUCUUUCCUUAUCAGUAGAUAACCCCCAUCUCAUAAGGAAAUACUUCCCAACACUUCCCAAUGAGAUCAGUGAUUGCUUUUUAGGAGAGCUACUGCUCCUUGAGAUGUUUAGACAAAGGGAGAGUAUCUUCUAUAAACCAGUAAAUGUCAGAGAAUGACUUGAGGGGGAGGUGGCGGAAGCUGUUUUUAACAGAUUUAAUCUAUGCAAUUUUUUCCCUCAUUUUUAAAAAAAUUUUCUCCACUUGCUGAAUAUCAGUUUUAGAGCAGAGCACAAAAAUCAACGAGUGACUUUAUCAUCUUUUGUUCUGCCAUUUGCCUAUAAGAUCCUUUUUUUCCCCCAAAAUGUACUCUAUGCUCUUGAUCGAGGUGUUCAGAUUGGAUAACAUAUUGCUAAUUUUGCUGAGUUUAAGAGCCGACAGAGUAACAGAGCCUUCUAACUUUACAAAAAUUCCAUCUUCUGCCCCUACACCCCCAAACUCAUAAUUUGGAAUUUGGUGAACAGUAUGCUACUUGUGAGUGAUUAAAAAGUUGAAAGUUGGUGGUAAUGAGACCUCAUGCUAUUUUAUUAAGCCAUCUAUCUAUAGAAUUGUUGUUCUCAUACUUUAAAAAAAUAUGUCUAUGCUUUUUUUUCCUUUUUUUUUUUCCUUUUUUUUUUUUUUUUGUCAAGUACUUUCUUAAAGAAACAAUAGCACCACAUUGGCAUAGCCGGCCAAACAAUAAAUGGGAAAGCAAAAUGUGCUACAUCUUCCAUUUAAGCAGUCUCCCAAGUGCAUAAACUAGUAACAGAAACUCUGGAGCCACAGUGCAUGAGAUGGUUUCAUCUACACAAACAUUGAC
rnacentral:lncRNA from 1 species